rnacentral:rRNA from 1 species
CCUACGGGUGUCAGCAGUGAGGAAUAUUGGUCAAUGGGCGCGAGCCUGAACCAGCCAAGUAGCGUGAAGGAUGACUGCCCUACGGGUUGUAAACUUCUUUUAUAAAGGAAUAAAGUGAGGCAAGUAGGCCUUUUUGUAGGUACUUUAUGAAUAAGGAUCGGCUAACACAGUGCCGGCAGCCGCGGUAAUACGGAGGAUCCGAGGGUUGUCCGGAUUUGUUGGGUGUAAAGGGUGCGUAGAUGGGUUGUUAAGUCAGUUGUGAAAGUUUGCGGCUCAACCGUAAAAUUGCAAUUGAUAAUGGCAGUCUUGAGUACAGUUGAGGUAGGCGGAAUUCGUGGUGUAGCGGUGAAAUGCUUAGAUAUCACGAAGAACUCCGAUUGCGAAGGCAGCUUACUAAACUGCCACUGACAUUGAUGCUCGAAAGUGUGGGUAUCAAACAGGAUUAGAUACCCCAGUAGUC